rnacentral:rRNA from 1 species
GACGAACGCUGGCGGCGUGCUUAACACAUGCAAGUCGAACGGAAAGGCCCUGCUUUUGUGGGGUGCUCGAGUGGCGAACGGGUGAGUAACACGUGAGUAACCUGCCCUUGACUUUGGGAUAACUUCAGGAAACUGGGGCUAAUACCGGAUAGGAGCUCCUGCUGCAUGGUGGGGGUUGGAAAGUUUCGGCGGUUGGGGAUGGACUCGCGGCUUAUCAGCUUGUUGGUGGGGUAGUGGCUUACCAAGGCUUUGACGGGUAGCCGGCCUGAGAGGGUGACCGGCCACAUUGGGACUGAGAUACGGCCCAGACUCCUCCGGGAGGCAGCAGUGGGGAAUAUUGCACAAUGGGCGGAAGCCUGAUGCAGCAACGCAGCGUGCGGGAUGACGGCCUUCGGGUUGUACACCGCUUUCGCCUGUGACGAAGAGUGAGUGACGGUAAUGGGUAAAGAAGCACCGGCUAACUACGUG